CUACGGGUCGCAGCAGUGGGGGAUAUUGCACAAUGGGCGAAAGCCUGAUGCAGCAACGCCGCGUGAAGGAAGACGGUUUUCGGAUUGUAAACUUCUAUCAGCAGGGAAGAAAAUGACUGUACCUGACUAAGAAGCCCCGGCUAACUACGUGCCAGCAGCCGCGGUAAUACGUAGGGGGCAAGCGUUAUCCGGAAUUACUGGGUGUAAAGGGUACGUAGGCGGCUGAUCAAGUCAGAUGUGAAAGCCCGGAGCUCAACUCCGGGACUGCAUUUGAAACUGGUCGGCUAGAGUGCAGGAGAGGAAAGUGGAAUUCCUAGUGUAGCGGUGAAAUGCGUAGAUAUUAGGAAGAACACCAGUGGCGAAGGCGGCUUUCUGGACUGUAACUGACGCUGAGGUACGAAAGCGUGGGGAGCGAACAGGAUUAGAUACCCCCGUAGUC
rnacentral:rRNA from 1 species